rnacentral:rRNA from 1 species
UAGGGAAUCUUCCGCAAUGGACGCAAGUCUGACGGAGCAACGCCGCGUGAGUGAAGAAGGAUUUCGGUUUGUAAAACUCUGUUGUCAGAGAAGAACAGCGCAUAGAGUAACUGUUAUGCGUGUGACGGUAUCUAACCAGAAAGCCACGGCUAACUACGUGCCAGCAGCCGCGGUAAUACGUAGGUGGCAAGCGUUGUCCGGAUUUAUUGGGCGUAAAGCGAGCGCAGGCGGUCAAUUAAGUCUGAUGUGAAAGCCCCCGGCUCAACCGGGGAGGGUCAUUGGAAACUGGUUGGCUAGAGUGCAGAAGAGGAGAGUGGAAUUCCAUGUGUAGCGGUGAAAUGCGCAGAGAUGUGGAGGAACACCGGUGGCGAAGGCGGCUUUCUGGUCUGUAACUGACGCGGAUGUGCGAAAGCGUGGGGAUCAAACAGG